rnacentral:rRNA from 2 species
GGUGAACGCUGGCGGCGUGCCUAACACAUGCAAGUCGAGCGGGUACCCGCAAGGGUACCAGCGGCGCACGGGUGAGUAACACGUGGGUAAUCUACCCCUCGGAGGGGGAUAACCGGGGGAAACUCCGGCUAAUACCCCAUACGAUCCAACAACACAAGUUGUUGGAUGAAAGGAGCGUUUGCUCCGCCGAGGGAUGAGCCCGCGGCCCAUCAGGUAGUUGGUGGGGUAAUGGCCCACCAAGCCUACGACGGGUAGCCGGCCUGAGAGGGUGGUCGGCCACAAGGGCACUGAGACACGGGCCCUACUCCUACGGGAGGCAGCAGUGGGGAAUCUUGGACAAUGGGCGAAAGCCUGAUCCAGCGACGCCGCGUGGGGGAUGAAGCCCUUCGGGGUGUAAACCCCUGUUGCGAGGGAGGAAUAAGGCCUGGAGGAAAUGCCAGGCCGAUGACUGUACCUCGCGAGGAAGCCCCGGCUAACUACGUGCCAGCAGCCGCGGUAAUACGUAGGGGGCGAGCGUUACCCGGAUUCACUGGGCGUAAAGCGGGUGUAGGCGGCUCGGUAAGUCGGGUGUGAAAUCCCACAGCUCAACUGUGGAAUUGCGCCCGAAACUGCUGAGCUUGGGGCCGGUAGAGGGAGACGGAACUGCCGGUGUAGGGGUGAAAUCCGUAGAUAUCGGCAGGAACGCCGGUGGGGAAGCCGGUCUCCUGGGCCGCGCCCGACGCUGAGACCCGAAAGCUAGGGGAGCAAACC